AUGGUAUGCAUCGGUAGGCUGAGGGCGCUGGUGCUUCGUGCGGCGGCGGGCGCGGGCAGGCGCCGGUGGGCCAGGGUCCUGUGCGGUCGGGCGGUCGAUGUGUGCGUGACACCCCGUCCGCGCGGGCACGGUUGGCGUGGAUUCCGGGCGGUGGCUGGCGCCAGGACGAAGAUGAUGCUCGAUUCCUCCGACUCUGACUCCGGCGCUCCGGCGGGCCAGCUGCAGCUGCAGCGCCGCGCGGCUGCUGCUGGGACCGAGCCGCAGGAUGGAGGGUACGCCAGUGCGGGGUGGCAGAGGGAAGAUGGUAAACUGAAAUGUGGGUAUUCAAGUUUUAGAGGGAAAAGGGCUACAAUGGAGGAUUUCUAUGAUGUAAAAUUAACUGAAAUUGAUGGACACGCUGUUAGCCUAUUUGGUGUAUUCGAUGGUCAUGGGGGGUCACGUGCUGCUGAGUAUUUGAAGGAGCAUUUGUUCGAGAACCUUAUGAAACACCCCAAGUUCUUGACUGAUACAAAGCUUGCUAUAAGUGAAACAUAUCAGAAGACAGAUGCAGAUUUCUUAGAAUCAGAAUCAAGUGCUUUCAGGGAUGAUGGUUCCACAGCUUCGACUGCGGUUUUAGUGGGUGGCCAUCUAUAUGUAGCAAAUGUUGGUGACUCCCGUGCUGUUAUUUCAAAAGCCGGGAAAGCUAGGGCACUCUCAGUAGAUCACAAACCUAACAGGUCCGAUGAACGCAAGAGAAUUGAAAAUGCUGGAGGUGUUGUCAUCUGGGCUGGUACUUGGAGGGUAGGUGGCGUACUGGCAAUGUCCCGUGCGUUUGGUAAUCGUCUACUGAAGCCAUUUGUGGUGGCAGAACCUGAAAUUCAGGAAGAAUUGAUUAAUGGAGAAUUGGAGAGCCUGGUUCUUGCCAGUGAUGGGCUUUGGGAUGCCGUAGAAAAUGAGGAAGCUGUGUCCCUUGCAAAAACAGAAGAUGUGCCAGAGUCUGCGGCCAGGAAACUGACGGAGAUUGCCUACUCUCGUGGCAGCGCUGACAAUAUUACAUGCAUCGUGGUGCAAUUCCACCAUGAUAAAAUUGCAGGAUGA
rnacentral:rRNA from 1 species